rnacentral:lncRNA from 1 species
AAUGUGAUGCGUUGUAAGGUGAUUAAUUCUCCAGAUUAUUCAAUUCAUCGCCUCUCUAUAUACUGUAUAAUUUGCUCAUAUACGAAUGUUGUUGGACAGGACGAUCACGCAGACGAUAUUCCAAAGAUGAGAAUUACAGACGAUAAUCUGUUAAUGGAUACUAGUUCAGACGACAGAAUCUCCUGUUCCAUUUGCCUUCAGGUUGUGCAAUAUACAUAUAUAUAUAUAUAUAUUAAUGAAUAAUAGUUCAGAGGGAUCAUAAUUAAUGAGUAAUUACCUCGACGUUCGGUUAAAUUGUUUCAGGAAUUCCAGACAGGAGACUUGAUUCACUGUUUGCCGCAUUGCAAACACAUUUAUCAUCAACCUUGCAUCAACAAAUGGCUGACUGCCCACAAUUCCUGCCCUUUGUGUAGAAGAAACGUGUGAC